rnacentral:rRNA from 1 species
UACGUAGGUGGCAAGCGUUGUCCGGAUUUAUUGGGUUUAAAGGGUGCGUAGGCGGUCCUUUAAGUCAGUGCUGAAAUACUCUAGCUUAAACUAGAGGGGUGGCAUUGAUACUGGAGGACUUGAAUGAAGUCGAGGUAGGCGGAAAUUGACGGUGUAGCGGUGAAAUGCUUAGAUAUCGUCAAGAACACCGAUAGUGAAGACAGCUUACUAGGCUUAGAUUGACGCUGAGGCACGAAAGUGUGGGGAUCAAACAGG